UGGAGAGUAACUUGGAUCGAGCAGUGGGGAGAUCUUCUGCUGAAAGUGACAGGAUAUGGAAUGUGAAUCAUUGAUUUUUCCAGUGUGUCUCUAACAUGACCCUUUUAUCACUUGACUCAUAGCUGGUCAUGUGUUUGUUUUAGGAAAAAUGAGUGUUUGUUGUUAUGGAAAAUCUGUGUCCCCUCAAAAUCCAUAUGUUGAUGUCCUAAUGCUCUAUGGGGUUACGGCUGGAAAGUCUUGGUUGCACUUUCUGUCACUGGUGCAGAAAGAACGUCCCCAGGAAUGGCCAGCGGCCUUUCGCCCGUGACAAGGCCACACAAACAGCAGCCUUCCUCCUGCGCUGGGUGGAAAGCCUGCUCCGGGACUGCUCGGCGUGCAAGGCACCGCGAGGACGGGAGGACGUGAAGGCUUCUAAAUGAAUAUUCUGAGCUCUUACGGCACACACCCUUUGUGCUCAUCUGGAAGAAGUCUAUGGGGACCGGACAGAAGUCAGAUGGAGGUCCCGGCCACGAACAGAUUUAUCCAGCCCACACAGGAGUGAAUACAGUAGUCUAAGAGCUAAUCCCCCAAAUGUUCUGAAAAUUCCUGGACAUUUAACUUGCUUUUCUUGUGGGAUAAGAUAGACAGAUAGACAAUAAAUAAACAGGAAAAGCCUGGGUGGUCCAGGAGAAGCCUCUUUGUGUAGCUGGGCCCUGGAUGACAAGCCAGACUCAGCCGUGCAGAAACAAGGGGGAGACAAAGCCAGGUGGAGGGACCAGGGGGCACAGAGGCCUUAGGUGGGAGUGAGCUUUGUUUGUUUCCAGGAAGAGGAAGGCCUGAGUGUCAGGAGUGUGGUGGGAAAUUGGGGCAGUGGUACCAUGAUCUGAUCUGUGUUUUAAGAAGGUCACCCUGGUUGCCGGGUGGAGGAGGGGAGUUUUUAGGAGAUGUAUGGGAGUAUUUUGGAGAUUAAUGGUGGUGACGGCUUGGAUGGGAAGAGUGACAGAGGAAAUGGAGAGGAGUGGACAGAUCUGAGAGAUGUUUUAGGGGCUGAACGGAUGGAAUCUGCUUGUGGGGUGGACACAGGUGAGAGGAAGACAGAAAUCAAGGGUGUCUUCUAGAUUUGAGCAACAUGGUGAAUGGUUAUGCCGUUUACUGAGCUGGGAGAGACUGAGAGAGAGAAGCAACUUUGCGGAGAGAUCAAGAAUUCUGUUCUGGACACACUAAGUUUCAGAUGUGUGCUAAGCCUCGAAGGAGAAAUGAGGGAGAAAUUGAACCUGUAAGUCUGCAGUUCUGGGAGUGCUUCAGGA